GGACAGCUGGCAGAGUUUGGCUGAAUGCGCCUGAUUCGAAAUCAGGUAGGCUCGCAAGGGUCUCGGGGGUUCGAAUCCCUCGCUGUCCGCCA
rnacentral:tRNA from 1 species